AUACGGGGGGUGCAAGCGUUGUCCGGAAUCAUUGGGCGUAAAGGGUUCGUAGGUGGAAUUAUAAGUCUGGUGUGAAAGCCCACAGCACAACUGUGGAACUGCACUGGAUACUGUUUUUCUUGAGUUAUAGAGGGGUUUGUGGAAUCUCUGGUGUAGAGGUGAAAUUUGUAGAGAUCAGAAAGAACACCGGUGGCGAAGGCGACAAACUGGCUAUUAACUGACACUGAGGAACGAAAGCGUGGGGAGCGAACAGGAUUAGAAACCCUAGUAGUCC
rnacentral:rRNA from 1 species